AUGAUGUUAGUGAGAAAUGAGAAUUGCUUAGCUAUAGUAAACUCCAUCACAACUACCACACCAUUUCUUCAUGGUGUUCCACGUGACAUAAUUCCUCUAUGGCAUUUCAUCAAACAAUACACAUGCAUCAAUGAAAGAGAGAAUAAUAUAUACCAAAAGAAUUUCUAUGAGGUCCAGUCAAAUCUGAUCAUCGCAUAG